rnacentral:tRNA from 1 species
GCAUAACAUACUGAUUAUAAAUCCAUUUGAUUUGGUCUUGAAAACCGGCGACCCGAAAGGGUUCCAGAGUUCGAAUCUCUGCGCUUCCGCCA